UACAGAGGGUGCAAGCGUUGUUCGGAAUUAUUGGGCGUAAAGCGCGUGUAGGCGGCUUUGCAAGUCAGAUGUGAAAGCCCUCGGCUUAACCGAGGAAGUGCGUCUGAAACUGCAGAGCUUGAGUGUCGGAGAGGAUGGCGGAAUUCCGCAAGUAGAGGUGAAAUUCGUAGAUAUGCGGAGGAACACCGGUGGCGAAGGCGGCCAUCUGGACGACGACUGACGCUGAGACGCGAAAGCGUGGGGAGCAAACAGG
rnacentral:rRNA from 1 species